rnacentral:rRNA from 1 species
AGCGGAAACGAGAAGUAGCUUGCUACUUCGGCGUCGAGCGGCGGACGGGUGAGUAAUGCCUAGGAAAUUGCCUUGAUGUGGGGGAUAACUAUUGGAAACGAUAGCUAAUACCGCAUAACGCCUACGGGCCAAAGAGGGGGAUCUUCGGACCUCUCGCGUCAAGAUAUGCCUAGGUGGGAUUAGCUAGUUGGUGAGGUAAUGGCUCACCAAGGCAACGAUCCCUAGCUGGUCUGAGAGGAUGAUCAGCCACACUGGAACUGAGACACGGUCCAGACUCCUACGGGAGGCAGCAGUGGGGAAUAUUGCACAAUGGGCGCAAGCCUGAUGCAGCCAUGCCGCGUGUAUGAAGAAGGCCUUCGGGUUGUAAAGUACUUUCAGUCGUGAGGAAGGUUCAUACGUUAA